UACAGGGGGGGGCAAGGCGUUGUUCGGAAUUACUGGGCGUAAAGGGCCAGUAGGGCGGCCAACUAAGUCCGACGUGAAAUCCCCAGGCUUAACCUGGGAACUGCGUCGGAUACUGGAUGGCUUGAAUUCGGGAGAGGGAUGCAGAAUUCCAGGUGUAGCGGUGAAAUGCGUAGAUAUCUGGAGGAAUACCGGGUGGCGAAGGCGGCAUCCUGGACCGAGAUUGACGCUGAACGGCGAAAGCUAGGGGAGCAAACGGGG
rnacentral:rRNA from 1 species